rnacentral:rRNA from 1 species
ACGGGAGGCAGCAGCUAAGAAUAUUCCGCAAUGGACGAAAGUCUGACGGAGCGACGCCGCGUGGAUGAUGAAGGCCGGAAGGUUGUAAAAUCCUUUUAUAACUGAGGAAUAAGUAAGGUGAGAGAAACGCCUUAUGGUGACUGUAGGUUAUGAAUAAGCAACGGCUAAUUACGUGCCAGCAGCCGCGGUAACACGUAAGUUGCGAGCGUUGUUCGGAAUUAUUGGGCGUAAAGGGCAUGUAGGCGGUUUUGCAAGCUUGGUGUGAAAUCCCGGAGCUUAACUCCGGAAUUGCGUUGAGAACUGCAUAACUAGAGUGACUGAGGGGCAGGCAGAAUUCCAGGUGUAGGGGUGAAAUCUGUAGAUAUCUGGAAGAAUACCAAUGGCGAAGGCAGCCUGCCAGCAGAUGACUGACGCUGAGGUGCGAAGGUGCGGGGAGCAAACAGGAUUAGAUACCCUGGUA